rnacentral:rRNA from 1 species
UACGGAGGAGGCAAGCGUUAUCCGGAAUUAUUGGGCGUAAAGCGUCCGUAGGUGGGUUAUCAAGUCAGCUGUUAAAUAGUGAAGCUUAACUUCAUAGAGGCGGCUGAAACUGAUAGUCUAGAGUGUGGUAGGGGUAGAGGGAAUUUCCAGUGUAGCGGUGAAAUGCGUAGAUAUUGGAAAGAACACCGGUGGCGAAGGCGCUCUACUGGGCCAUCACUGACACUGAGGGACGAAAGCUAGGGGAGCGAAAGGG